CAUGUCCAACAAGUCGCCCACGAGGCGUCAGUGUGGCAUUGCUAGCUCCAGCUUCCCCUACAACCGUCUCUGCCGCCGGCACUUGCACGCAAUCGUGCUGGUUUCUGUAGUUCAAGAUCAAAGGCAAGAAUCAGCCAAAUAUGAUGAUGAGAACAAGGCUAAUGAUGGAGAACCUUCAUCUAUCGAAGCUGAGCAGUCUAUUGGGAAUACUAAGUUUCAAUGCGCAUCCUAAGUUUCAGUUACCUGAAAUCAAGGCCAGUUUCAGUCGAUGCCGAAGUAAACUACCACAUACGUGAUGACCUUGAGAAAAUCCAUGCACUUCAAUUGGACAGGAGUUUUCUGCCACGUAAUCGAUGAUGCACUUCACGUGACAGAAUUGUAAGAUCAGUACUUCUAUCUACUCUAUUCAUCACAUCUACACUUCUGUUUAUUCAUUCUAUGAGCUCUCUAUUUAAGAGAAACAACAGAGACUACUAUUUAAGAAUAGUAGCCUUUUCAAUUAAAUGCUGAAGUAUGUGUUUUCUGCAUGCACCCACAAGUUAUUCAAGAAAAACUA